GAUGAUUAUGGCUUACAGCUCAUGAAAACCCCAAAUCCACAAUCUCAGUAAAUUAGAAUAUUACAUGCAAUCAAUUAAACAAGGAGUGUACAUAGAACAAUAUCGGACCUCUGAAAAGUAUAAGCAUGCAUAUGGACUCAGUACUUGGUUUGGGCCCCUUUUGCAGCAAUUACUGCCUCAAUGUGGCGUGGCAUGGAAGCUAUCAGCCUGUGACACUGCUGAGGUGUUAUGGAAGACCAGGAUGUUUUAAUAGCGGCCUUCAGCUCUUCUGCAUUGUUCCGUCUCAUUUCUCACAUCUUUCUCUUGGCAAUGCCCCAUAGAUUCUCUAUGGGGUUCAGGUCAGGUGAGUUUGCAGGCCAAUCAAGCACAGUAAUCCCAUGGUCAUUGAACCAGGCUUUGGUGCUUUAAGCAGUGUGGGCAGGUGCCAAGUCCUGCUGGAAAAUGAAGUCAGCAUCAUGAAGUCAAUAUCACCAUAAAGCUUGUCUGCGGAAGGAAGCAUGAAGUGCACCAAAAUCUCCUGGUAGAUGACUGCGUUGACCUUGGACUUAAUAAAGCACAGUGGACCAACACCAGCAGAUGACAUGGCUUUCCAAAUCAACACAGACUGUGGAAACUUCACACUGGAUUUCAAGCAUCUUUCAGUGUGUGCCUCUCCAUUCUUCCUCCAGACUCUGGGUCCUUGGUUUCCAAAUGAAAUGCAAAAGUUGCUCUCAUCAGAAAAGAGGACUUUGGACCACUGAGCAACAGACCAGGUCUGUUUUUAUUUAGCCCAGUUAAGACGCUUCUGAUGUUGUUUGUUAUUCAGGAGCGGCUUGACAAGAGGAAUACGACAUCUGAAGCCCAUGUCCAGGAUCCGUCUGUGUGUGGUGGCUCUUGAUACACUGACUCCAGCCUCAGUCCACUCCUUGUGAAAGUCUCCAACACAUUUGAAUAGCCUUUUCCUGACAAUCCUCUCCAGGCGGCAGUCAUCCCUGUUGCUUGUGCACCUUUUUCUUCCACACUUUUCCCUUCCACAUAACUUUCUAUUAAGGUGCUUUGAUACAGCACUUUGGGAACAUCCAACUUCCUUCACAAUUACCUUUUGAGGCUUUCCCUCCUUAUGGAGGGUGUUAAUGAUGGUUUUCUGCACAACUGUUAGGUCAGCAGUCUUCCCCAUGAUUGUGAUUCCUACUGAACCAGACUGAGAGACCAUUUAAAGGCUCAGAAACCCUUUGCAGGUGUUAUGGCUUACUUAGCUGAUUAGAGUGGGACUAUGUGAGCCUAGAAUAUUGCACCUUUUCACAAUAUGCUAAUUUACUGAGAUUGUGGAUUUGGGG